rnacentral:lncRNA from 1 species
AACUCCUCCCCUCUGUCUUCUUCGUUCUCUGUUCACCGACCGCGGUGGACGACCGUGUGUCGUCCAUAGAUGGAUUAGCCACGAGGCGGCCAUCCCGCGCCUCCCCACCGUCUCCCAGCGGGGGAUAAGACCGAACCCGACGCCGCUGUCGAACCCUAUCCUAUCCACUUCUUCCCCUUCCCUCUCCUCCCCGAUCUGGAGAGGCACCCGUACGCAGCCGUCAACGCCGCCUCAUCGUUGACACGCUCCGGCACCACCCCGUCGCGCCCGAAGGCACCCAGGAGCUGCGCCUCGACGUCCUCUACCUCCACGGCAACCGGCUCGAGCUGGAGUGCCCCGGAGCCGCAGCCAUGGACCCCUCCUCUUCGACCAGGGAUGUCUGCUCCGCCUCGUCGAUCUGCUACCUCCGGUCCUCCCCGAACCACCCCGAGCUCGCCACCGCCUUCCCCUCGGUGAGCCGCACCCAUUCCCCCUUUCCCCCCUCGGAUUUGUCGCCGUAUGAGCGCGCCCCGCGUCGCUGUUGCUCCUGCUAUUGUCGCCUUGCUCGUGUGCGCCUUCGCCUUGCCAGGCCCGCCCCCUGUCGACCGAAGUCGUGCCCACACGCGCGGACUGCUGCCCCCGCUCGCAUCGUUGCCCCCUACCGCUGCGUCAACUACCUCGGCCAAGCGCGACUACAGACCCGCACCGGCCGCUGCGGCUGUUGCCGCCGUGGACUCCGCCCCGUUCGCAGCAGCGGCUGUGUCUCGCCAUUCCUCGGGCCGACCGCGCCCGCUCCGCCCAUCUCCGCCGCCUGCCGCUCGCUCGUCGGCGGUGACCCGCCCACCACCGGCCACCACACCCCGCGCCCACUGCCGGCCUCCACUCCCCAUGCGGCCUGCUGCCGCCCCCCUGCUAGCUGCUUUUGGCUGCUGCUGCCGCUCGAUACAGGCCGGGUGCCCCUGUUGUAUUACGUGCUAAUGCCCCCUAAUCGUAACACUAAUUAGGCGCUGAUAGUAGGCCCCACUACUUAAUUAGAUUAACUAAACCCAUUUAAAACUCAAUUUAACAAAUUGUCCCACUGACAUAUGGGUCCCCGUGCUAAAUAAAUCUAGUUACUUAAAUAGUUUAACUAGCGGUCUAUGACAUGUGGCCCCUACAUGACAGUUGGACCAGUCAACAAGUUGACUGUUGACCGUUGACUAGGCAGUCAACAGGGCCCACCUGUCAGUCAAAUAGAAAUAUCUUUGGGUACACUUAUGUGUACCCGUAGCAUUUAGUAUUUAAUAUAUUUCAGAAUUAAAUUAACUCCAGAAUUUUAGAAAAUCAUUUAAAGCUUUAAAAAUUAAUAUAAAAUAAACCGUAGCUCGGAUGAAAAAACUUUGUACAUGAAAGUUGCUCAGAACGACAAGAGGAAUCCGGAUACGCAGUCCGUUCGCCCGCCACACAUCCCUAGCAUAGCAAGCCUGCAACAUUUCACCUCUGGCUCAUCUGUCCGAAAAUGCGAAACACCGGGAACACUUUUCCGGAUGUUUCCCCCCUUCGCCGAUAUCACCUACCACUAUGUUAGGUCACCCCUAGCACCGCAUAUUGCCGCGUCUUGCUUUGUGUUACAUUUGAUUGCUCUGUUAUUUAUUGUGUUCCCCCUUCGUUACUUCUUUCCGGUAGACUCUGAGACCGGUGACGAUGUCCGUGUGUUUGACUACACCGAAGAUGACCC